rnacentral:snRNA from 1 species
CAGCUUGAAAAUCGGACGUCU